rnacentral:rRNA from 1 species
GUGAACGCUGGCGGUAGGCCUAACACAUGCAAGUCGAGCGGCAGCACAGGAGAGCUUGCUCUCCGGGUGGCGAGUGGCGGACGGGUGAGGAAUACAUCGGAAUCUACUUUUUCGUGGGGGAUAACGUAGGGAAACUUACGCUAAUACCGCAUACGACCUACGGGUGAAAGCAGGGGACCUUCGGGCCUUGCGCGGAUGAAUGAGCCGAUGUCGGAUUAGCUAGUUGGCGGGGUAAAGGCCCACCAAGGCGACGAUCCGUAGCUGGUCUGAGGGGAUGAUCAGCCACACUGGAACUGAGACACGGUCCAGACUCCUACGGGAGGCAGCAGUGGGGAAUAGUGGACAAUGGGCGCAAGCCUGAUCCAGCCAUACCGCGUGGGUGAAGAAGGCCUUCGGGUUGUAAAGCCCUUUUGUUGGGAAAGAAAAGCAGCAGGUUAAUACCCCGCUGUUCUGACGGUACCCAAAGAAUAAGCACCGGCUAACUUCGUGCCAGCAGCCGCGGUAACAC